rnacentral:rRNA from 1 species
CCUACGGGUGGCAGCAGUGGGGAAUAUUGGGCAAUGGGCGCAAGCCUGACCCAGCAACGCCGCGUGAAGGAAGAAGGCUUUCGGGUUGUACACUUCUUUUAAGAGGGAAGAGCAGAAGACGGUACCUCUUGAAUAAGCUACGGCUAACUACGUGCCAGCAGGCGAGGUGAUACGUAGGUGGCAAGCGGUGUCCGGAUAUACUGGGUGUAAAGGGCGUGUAGCCGGGCUGACAAGUCCGAUGUGAAAUCACGUGGCUCAACCACGGAACUGCAUUUGAAACUGUCGGUCUUGAGUAUCAGAGAGGCAGGCGGAAUGCCAAGUGUAGCGGUGAAAUGCGUAGAUAUUAGGAGGAACACCAGUGGCGAAGGCGGCCUGCUGGACGACAACUGACGGUGAGGCGCGAAAGCGUGGGGAGCAAACAGGAUUAGAUACCCUAGUAGUC